rnacentral:rRNA from 1 species
CAACCCUUGACAUGCCAGGACGAUUCCCAGAAACGGGUUUCUUCCAGCAAUGGACCUGGACACAGGUGCUGCAUGGCUGUCGUCAGCUCGUGUCGUGAGAUGUUGGGUUAAGUCCCGCAACGAGCGCAACCCUCAUCUUCAGUUGCCAGCGGUUCGGCCGGGCACUCUGAAGAAACUGCCGGUGACAAGCCGGAGGAAGGUGGGGAUGACGUCAAGUCCUCAUGGCCCUUACGGGUUGGGCUACACACGUGCUACAAUGGCGGUGACAAUGGGCAGCAAAGCCGCAAGGCUGAGCUAAUCUCAAAAAGCCGUCUCAGUUCGGAUUGCGCUCUGCAACUCGAGUGCAUGAAGUCGGAAUCGCUAGUAAUCGUGGAUCAGCACGCCACGGUGAAUA